GUCCGCCGGCGCCCCCUGGGAUUGGGGAGAGAGGGAAGGGCUGAGGCUCACGGUUUCGGAGUAAGGGGAGCGGCCCGGCGAGCCGCCGCGCCUGGGUUAAGAGCUGCAGGAGGAACGUGGCUUCACGAGUUCGGCUCCUCGGCCAUCCACAGCCCGGGCCUCCGCCUCUGCUGACCUGGCGGCUGUAGAAGGCAGAAGAGGCCUGAAACCUGCAGCAGGAGCACCACCCUGCCCCGCGGCCCCGCGCGCCCUCCAGUGGCGUCAUCCCAUCCGCUUUGAUCUCGACUGGCGCGCCUACCCUCGGCAGCGGCACCCCUUGGGAGCGCAAUCGCGGGCAGACUCCGAGGACCCAUCUUGCGAAAGUUCUGCGAGGUCCUGACUUUAAGGGAACAGGGGUCGUACUUGGGCCAUGGCCGGAAGGGAGAUCCAACAUCCAUGACGACGUCUACCCCCCAGCCUGCCCCUUCAGAGCCCAGUCUGUGCCUUGCGUCAAAGUCAAGCAAGGGCUCUUGUAGGGCACCGAGCCCCAGCCAAAAUCACCCUUUUCUUUCAGAUAGCCCCCACUUACCCCCAGAAACCUUACUCUCUCCCUCGGGAGCAGGUGGGAAGUGAAAGGCCGGGGGGGCUGUUUCUGCUCUGCUUGUCUGUACCUGUGGCCCUUGAGUGGAAAACCCCGCCGCUGGACCAAAGACCUGGAGGCUCCAGGAUUGCCCACUUGGGACCCUGACUAUGAAGGGUCAAGAUAGCCCAUUCUGCCCCAGCACUCAGAGCCCUAUUACCAAGGCCCCUACUCCAAGAAUCCACCAUCAAAACCGGGGCCCUGCCAGUGCCUUCCCAGUGUUCAGGCCUAGGGAAGAAUAGCCCCAUUAUGCCUGUUACUCCUGAUCCUUCUGCAGUCUCUCUCUUUGUGACCCCAUGGCCUUUGCUGCUAUGUCUGCCCUGGCCCCACAGAGUGCCAGGUCAGAGCCACCCUGGCCUACAUAGCAGGGCCCCGGUUCACAGGCUAAAACCUGGGCCUCCUGCCAGGCUGCAACUCCCAGCUGCACACCGCAACCUGAGACAUCUCAGCAUAUUCUAGGAACUAGUAAUGGGGACGCUUCCGACUCGCUGGGGAAGGGAGAUGAGGGCCUCUAGCUCUCCAUGCCCAGUCUCUCAUCAUCAAAGUCAUUUAAGGCCCCAGCGACCCCAGGGUUCAGCAGCAUCCCCUCUGCUCGCUGAGAUAGACACAUACCUGAUUGCCUCCUUUGGAGAGGCUUGUCAGAAACAAAAUAAUGCAACCAUUUGUCUCUCAGCUACCUGCGACCUGGAAGCCCCCUCCCCACUUCGAGUUGUCCCCGCCUUUCUGGACGGAACCAACGUACUUCUUACAUAUAUCGAUUGAUGUCUCAUGUCUCCUUAAAAUGUAUGAAAACAAACUGUGCCCUGACCACCUUGGGCACAUGUCGCCAGGACUCCCUGAGGCUGUGUCACGGGCACGCAUCUUCAACCUUGGCAAAAUAAAGUUUCUGAAUUAACUGAGACCUGUCUCAAAUUUUCAGGGUUCACAUUUUGGUAAUCAUUGAGGGAUUCUGAGUGGAGAUGCCCCUGACUUUUGACAAAUCUCCCAUUGGUGCAUGGUACCAGCAUGAGCUAACUUUAUGGCUCAAACCAAUAGGACAAUUUGCUGAGGUCUGAGAGUACCCCGUCCAGAGAAUCCCUGAUCUCCCAAAAUUUAGUCAAGAUCUAAAGUUUAUUUUGCUGUACAACUCCUCUUUUUCUAGAGUUUUACUUGCUUCCAACACAAGGAAGGCAACUUUUCUCCUGCUUCCAUGACAAUGGAAUGCAGGUAACUCCUAUGGAGUCUGAGCUCACUUCUAACAGGGAAGAUGAGUUUGUUUUUUGUUUUUUUCCUGCUUCUAGGAUGGUAGAAAGCAGCCUUCGGCCUGAGACCCAUCCCUAGAUAGGUAACUGAAUUGGGGUUUGUCUUGGAUAAAGUUAAGAUUAACAACCAGCUGGUCUUAAUUUCUCCUUACCAUUAGAGCGCUCAGUGAUCAUAUUGUUGGUUUUUUUGUUGUUGUUGCUUUGUUCCAGUCUGAAGUUGUUGUUUAAGGAUCCUAAUUCUUGUUCAGAGAUGCAUUCUAAAGGGUCUUCUCUAUUGCUUUUUCUCCCAAAUUUAAACUUAAUUCGGUUUGUCUGUGUGCAUUUGCGUGAAGAAGUGAACUGUUGUUUUCAUACGUUAAUGACAGUUUUCUCAGCUCUGAAGAGAAAAGGCAUUUACUCCUCCCAGCUGAAAGCGCCCCUAGGUGACUGGGGGCCUCAUGGGAGUCUCUGGGGGGGUUAACCCCUUGCGACGUGCAGCGGCCCUGGAGGGAAAUCCCCAACAAAAAUUAAUUUUAAAAAUGGCUCAUCCAGGAAACGCAUAUAAGGGCUGAUCGCCCAGCCUUUUGAGCCUUUUCUGGGGUCAUAAACCUCUGGAGAGAGAAACUGAGACAUGUAAGAGGGUGGAAACGACUCAGCGAUGACACACUGUAGCAUCCUGCCCACAAGCAGCACAUAGCAAUCAAAAAACCUGGGCCACAGCUCAGUUCCUCCUAUUAAGAGAGAAAAAAAAAUUGGGAAACAAUAUAAGAAUGAGGAGGAAACAAAGAGAAUGACCCCCUUUCCAGCACUCCAUAGGUUGUAUGGCACAUCUACUUGCCAAAGUUUAUGUAAAAUGGAAAUAAUAUGGUCUUUGUGCACAUUUACAUUAAGGAAAAAGAGCCCUAAGAUCGACCUGCAAAUUAUAGAGUUCCUAAGUGCUCUUUUUCUCGAUUUUUUUCUUUUCUGCCUGCUCUAAAUCUGCUGUUAUUUUUCUAUUAAGAUAAAAACCACUGCAUCCAACAAGUUCUUUUUGCAGGGUGGUGAAUUUGUGUUUAUCUCAUGGCUAAAAGUUCUGAAGUAAAAGCUAUAGGAUAUUUGUUUAUGUGUGUGUCUAUGUGUGUGUGUAUAUAUAUUUAAAAGGC
rnacentral:lncRNA from 10 species